rnacentral:rRNA from 1 species
AACGAACGCUGGCGGCAUGCCUAACACAUGCAAGUCGAACGAGACCUUCGGGUCUAGUGGCGCACGGGUGCGUAACGCGUGGGAACCUGCCCUUAGGUUCGGAAUAACUCCCCGAAAGGGGUGCUAAUACCGGAUAAUGUCUUCGGACCAAAGAUUUAUCGCCUUUGGAUGGGCCCGCGUUGGAUUAGCUAGUUGGUAGGGUAAAAGCCUACCAAGGCGACGAUCCAUAGCUGGUCUGAGAGGAUGAUCAGCCACACUGGGACUGAGACACGGCCCAGACUCCUCCGGAGGGCAGCAGGGGGGAAUAUUGGACAAUGGGCGAAAGCCUGAUCCAGCAAUGCCGCUUGAGUGAUGAAGGCCUUGGGUUGUAAAGCUCUUUUACCCGGGAUGAUAAUGACAGUACCGGGAGAAUAAGCGCCGGCUAACUCCGUG